UAGUUUCUAAAAAUAUAUCACAUGUUACUAAAUGAACAUGAUUGUUAACCGCUUUAUAUUAAAAGUAAUUCAAUUCCUCUGUAGCGAAUUUCUAUCGGAGGGGGAUAAUAUCUCGAUAACAUUAUCUCCAUUGUCAUUGCGACAUUAAACACAGAAAUUACAUAGUCAAGCUUUUGCCAAAACCAAAUGUCGUAUCAUACGUCAUCGUGUUACGUGACGUACUUUUUAAUGCAACAGUGACAAUGAAGAUAAUGUGACGUCACGUAUUCUCCGGUAUAUUAUUCGCUAUAGGGGAAUAAAAUCACUUUUAAUAGUAGAAGGGGGUAGCGUACCAUAUCCAUUCGGCAACAUAAUUUUGUAUAUCAUGGAGCAGAAUCUUGUUUUAUGAAUUCAAGUAAUACAUUAAAUUUUAUUGAAGAAUAUUGAAAUAGUAAUAAAUAUCAACAAAAAUUAUUACAAAAAAAAUAUGGCAUAAAAUAAAUCCAAUUAGUUGCAGAAAAAUUUUUAGCAGAAGAAUAUUUAAAGAAAUAUGCUAAAUCAUGUCCAAAUUGUUCAGCUAUGAUUGAAAAAAUAGAUGGGUGUAAUAAAAUGCAAUAUAUUCAUUGCAAUGCUUAUUUUUGUUGGCUUUGUGGAUCAUAUAUAAUAA